rfam:Erinaceus europaeus unplaced genomic scaffold scaffold00028, whole genome shotgun sequence
GGAUGUGAGGGCGAUCUGGCUGCAACAUCUGUCACCCCAUUCAUCGCCAGGGUUGAUUCGGCUGAUCUGGCUGGCUAGGCAGGUGUCCCCUUCCUCCCUCACUGCUCCAUGUGCAUCCCUCCCGAAGCUGUGCGCUCGGCCUUCCCCGAAUAGAGACUUACCGGUCUUCAGUCGAGGGUAUACGAGUAGCUGCGCUCCCCUGCUAGAACCUCCAAAAAAGCUCUCAAGAAGCGAGCGACUGGCUUCUCCUCAUGUGUUGCUCUCUAACACAAAAGGAAAGUAAUUUCCAGAUCUAGGUCCAGACUUCACUUGCAGGUG